ensembl:lncRNA Novel transcript, antisense to RNF130
GAAUCGUUAAGGAAAGAUGGACACGAGGGUGUCCAGGCCCAUCUCCCUCCCUCACGGAGGGAAGAGGCAGUGGGCAGGUGUGACAGCAGACGCUGUGGGGCAGUACUUGGAGGGCGAUGGCUUUGAAAGAGAGUUUUAAAAACUGGACUGGGAAAUGCGAGUGUCACGAGAUGCCGGCGAGUGGAGACAGAACACUGGAAGGAGCAGCCAGCCAAGAGAACGAGGCCCCGAGGAAGGGAGAGAGCAGGCACGCAGCGGCGCGGGGAGGAGCGGCAUGGACCGCAGCAGACGGCCUCUCCGGCCUGCGCACCCGGGUCAGCACGCUGAGGGAAUUAAACCCAUUGCUUCCUCUGGGCAGUCAAUGGUGAAGCGGUCCUCUGAGAGUGAAGAACAAGCGUGUGAGUUAAGGUGUUGAAGUAGAGUGAACACACCUGCAGGUGCUGCUGUGCCGAAUGCGGAGCGCCAGCCAGGCGGGGAGGCUCUGUCUUGCCAAGUCUGUUCAGAGUCCCGUGGGAAGACGGUGAGGGAACAGAACCGCUUAGCAACAUGAGGUACAGAAAGCCACAGCAGGUUAGAAUCAGCUUGGACCAUCAUGAUCUCCCCAUCCCUCAUUCCCCCUGCAUUACUUAUUGGUCUGAAGAGGUUUCACUGCUAUGUUUGACACAGCCUGGAAGCUCACCAGGAUGUUCACUUAAACACACACCUAAGUACAGACAGGAAAGAUGGACUGAGAAGGGGUUUUGCAAAAGUUGUCAUAAAACAAAACAUGCCAGGAACCUAAGCCAAGAAAACAGACUAUUUGCUGUGUCACUGUCACUUGGACUGAAACUCAGUGGACAACUCUUGCCAGGUCUAGGAGGUACAAACUAAGAUGAAUUGGCUUUAAUAAUUAAAGGAAAUAACUGUGCUGGCCCGGGAUACAAAGUCAGAUGGGUAGGUUAAAUCCGCUCCAGGGAAUUUCAUACUAUUGUGGCAGCUGAGGCUACCAGGCCAAGAAGGCAUCUACACUGUCACCGUGGUCACCACUCCUCUGCCAUUGAAAUGCAAGCCGUUUUGAUGCUGCUUCUAUUUUCUUAAGUGAUUUCCCCCUUUUCUGUUUCUUUGGUGUACAAUAAAGUUCACUAAGAAUGUCUCCACCCUCUGAAGCUGUUUCAAAGGCAACUAGAUACGGUGGUAUCAAGGCAAUGGGAAUAAAAUGGGUAAAGUCCAAGAAAUUGGUAAAACUUAGGAAGACAGAGAAUCAUAUGAAAUUAUCCUUCCAGGCACAAGUCUGUGCUUAAAUAUUAGAAUUGGGUGUGGGGCAGGAGACAGUUUUCGUUUUAUGCCUUUUGAGAUGCCAUUUUCCCAUUCUAGAUAACCUUGAAUACUCUGAAUGUAGGGGCAGCACUAAGAUGCAACUGUGUCCUUCUAGCGGAGAAGCAGGGCUCUACCAUAACUAGAGCUCUGAGGCGGGAUGUCAGUUAGAGGUCUCCGCCACAGCAUCCUGACACUGCCUCUCUCCCUUGGUCCUCCAAGCCACCAGGGAUGACCCUGACACACUUUGCUCUUCUUUCAAACUGCUCAACCCAUUGUAAAGAGAGCACCUUUUUAGGUGAAACUCCCUAGAAAUGCAGGUCUUCAACUCUCCAUGUAUCUAGUGAAAAAAUAAAACAACAAAAGAGACAUAGCAAAGUCCCAGGAAGUAUAGGAAGAAAACACAUCUCCUGGCUUUUUAACGCACAAAUGGUCCCACCAGAAUUCUCUGAAAAUGCAUGCUAGGUUUUAGCAGAAGAAACCUCUGUAGGAAAACACAGCUAGAGUUACUGUAAGAAGGUAGUUUAAAAUAAAGCAUUAGGUAGUGUAGUUGGAGAAAAUCUAACGAAUGAAAUGUAAACAAUUAGGGUGUGUCCUCUCCCACCAAACAAAAACAAAACUGCUGGAUUACUUUUACGGUGCUGAAGUUGUUUCAUGACUGUACCUUGUCACCCUUCUUUACUGUCCUGGUUGUCAAUUUACUGAUGGCUUUCUUGGCUGCA